rnacentral:lncRNA from 1 species
UUAAGUGGUUUCAGGGGUAUUUUGUUUUUUUUUUUUUUUUUUGAUGAAAUUUCAAAUUUAUUGAUCAUACUAGAAAGAAUAUAUGUACAAGCCUAUGUGGUUACAACUAAAUAAUGUGAGUAAACAGCCAAACUAAGUAUCAUGAGCUCCAAACCACCUUUGCAUCAGACCUUGCAACCUUGGCCUUAAGUAAUAACGCGUAGACGUUAUACGGUUACGAACCGUC